AUUGAACGCUGGCGGCAGGCCUAAUACAUGCAAGUCGAACGAGAAAGCAUCUUCGGAUGUGAGUACAGUGGCGGACGGGUGAGUAAUACAUAGGAAUCUACCCAAUGGUGGGGGAUAGCUCGGGGAAACUCGAAUUAAUACCGCAUAAUCUCUACGGAGUAAAGGGGGCUUCGGCUCUCGCCAUCGGAUGAGCCUAUGCAGGAUUAGCUUGUUGGUAAGGUAAUGGCUUACCAAGGCAACGAUCCUUAGCUGGUUUGAGAGGAUGACCAGCCACAUCGGGACUGAGACACGGCCCGGACUUCUACGGAAGGCAGCAGUAGGGAAUAUUGGACAAUGAGCGAAAGCUUGAUCCAGCCAUGCCGCGUGUGUGAUGACGGCCUUCGGGUUGUAAAGCACUUUAGGUAAUGAGGAAAAAUUAGAUGUUAAUACCACCUAAUCAUGACGUUAAUUACAGAAUAAGCACCGGCUAAAUCCG
rnacentral:rRNA from 1 species